rnacentral:rRNA from 1 species
CGGGGUGCAGCAGGCGCGAAAACUUUGCAAUACACGAAAGUGUGACAGGGUCAUCCCGAGUGCCGACCGCUGAGGUUGGCUUUUACCCAGUCUAGAAAGCUGGGGGAAUAAGGAGAGGGCAAGUCUGGUGUCAGCCGCCGCGGUAAUACCAGCUCUCCGAGUGGUGUGGACGUUUAUUGGGCCUAAAGCAUCCGUAGCUGGCUGAACAAGUCCCCUGUUAAACCCACCGAUUUAAUCGUUGGUCUGCGGGGGAUACUGCUCGGCUAGGGGACGAGAGAGGCAGACGGUAUUCCCGGGGUAGGGGUGAAAUCCUAUAAUCCCGAGAAGACCACCAGUGGCGAAGGCUGUCUGCUAGAACGCGCCCGACGGUGAGGGAUGAAAGCUGGGGGAGCGAACCGGAUUAGAUACCCGGGUAGUCCCAGCUGUAAACGAUGCAGACUAGGUGUUUGGACGGCCACGUGCCGUUCUAGUGCCGCAGGGAAGCUGUUAAGUCUGCCGCCUGGGGAGUACGAUCGCAAGAUUGAAACUUAAAGGAAUUGGCGGGGGAGCACAAGGGCGAAUCGC